UACGUAGGGGGCAAGCGUUGUCCGGAUUUAUUGGGCGUAAAGAGCGUGUAGGCGGCCUGACAGGUCUGCUGUGAAAACUCGAGGCUCAACCUCGAGACGUCGGCGGAAACCAUCUGGCUAGAGUCCGGAAGAGGAGAGUGGAAUUCCUGGUGUAGCGGUGAAAUGCGCAGAUAUCAGGAGGAACACCGAUGGCGAAGGCAGCUCGCUGGGACGGUACUGACGCUGAGGCGCGAAAGCGUGGG
rnacentral:rRNA from 1 species